UUCAUACUCCCUCCGUCCGAAAAUACUUGUCAUCAAAAUGGACAAAAAGGGAUGUAUCUAGAACUAAAAUACAUCUAGACUCAUCCCCUUUUAUUCAUUUUGAUGACAAGUAUUUUCGGACGGAGGGAGUAGAUG
rfam:Triticum aestivum genome assembly, contig: Triticum_aestivum_CS42_TGACv1_scaffold_031934_1BL